ACGAACGCUGGCGGCAUGCCUAACACCUGCCAGUCGAACGAGACCUUCGGGUCUAGUGGCGCACGGGUGCGUAACGCGUGGGAACCUGCCCUUAGGUUCGGAAUAACUCCCCGAAAGGGGUGCUAAUACCGGAUAAUGUCUUCGGACCAAAGAUUUAUCGCCUUUGGAUGGGCCCGCGUUGGAUUAGCUAGUUGGUAGGGUAAAAGCCUACCAAGGCGACGAUCCAUAGCUGGUCUGAGAGGAUGAUCAGCCACACUGGGACUGAGACACGGCCCAGACUCCUACGGGAGGCAGCAGUGGGGAAUAUUGGACAAUGGGCGAAGGCCUGAUCCAGCAAUGCCGCGUGAGUGAUGAAGGCCUUAGGGUUGUAAAGCUCUUUUACCCGGGAUGAUAAUGACAGUACCGGGAGAAUAAGCUCCGGCUAACUCCGUG
rnacentral:rRNA from 1 species